CCCAUUGCCUUUGGGUGCCACCAAAGCCACCGUCCCCUACGCGAGCCCCGGUGGCAGCAGCCCCGGGAGGGCGGUGGUGGCAUCUUGGCAGCGCCGGGCCAGGUCCGUGGCUUCGGCGGUGCCAUCGGUGGUGCCACCGGUGGUCAGCAGCACGUGGACCACCUUCAGCAUCCCCAGGAGGUGCUCCUGGGCCAGGCGGGCGCUGGCGACCCACAGAGCCUCGGCCACCGCCACCGCCUCCGCCAGCCCUUUGGGGCUGCCCGCGUCCCCCUGCGUGGCCUCGGGGCCCACCAUGGCCUCGAUGUCCUUGAGGCAGCGCUGCAGGUGGCAGUAGUAGCGGUGGGCGCCGUCACAGGCCACCACCAGCUGCCCCAAAAGCUCGCAGGCCACCGCCGCGCGCUGUCCCCACUCCUUGGCCUUCAUCAUGUGCGCCACCACCACCGCCUCCUCCUCGGUGGCCUUGCUGGCCGCCUGCAGCCCCGCCUGGGCCCCCGCCAGCCGCGCGUCGUGGGCUUCCAUCUUCUCGGCCGGCUCGGUGGGCUCCAAGGCCAGCGGCAGGAGGUGGGUGGUAGCCCGCAGAUUCUUGCAGGCCUCGUCCUCCCGGGCAAUCGCCUCCGCCAGCUUGCCCAUGGCGGCCCCGGCGGUGGCCCCGGCGGUGGCCCCGGUUUCGGCGACCACCGCGCAGGCGUCCUUCAGGCCGGUGGCCUCCGCCUUCAGCUUUGCCCAGGCGGCCUCCACGGUGGCCACCGCCUUCAGCCAGCCGCUGACGGUGGCCACCGCGGUGGCCGCGGGGACACCGGGGGGGGGGGUGGCGUGGGCCAGGUGACGGUAAUGGGCCAGUUGGUGACGUUGCUGGUCCAAGGCGGUGGCCAGGUGGUGGCCGGAGCGCUCGGAGGCCCAGGCGGCCACCUGGCACACCAGCAGGACGGUGGCCAGGCAGGGGACGAGGUGGCCCUCCUGUGUCACCCCCAGCGCCUCCCGCACCGCGUCGAAGGACACUGCGGGGACAAGGAGGGACGGGGGUGGCACCUGGUGGCCCCUGGUGGCGUUCCCAGGGUCACCGUCCCCAAAUUGUGGCCUCUGGACCCCCUCCCAGUGCCCCCCAGUUCCCUCCCAGUGCCCCCAUCCCCUCCCCAGUGUCCUCUUCCCAGUGUCCCUGUCCCCUCCCGGUGUCCCCAUCCUGUCCCAGUGCCCCCAUCCCCUCCCAGUAUCCUCUUCCCAGUGUCCCCAUCCCCUCCCAGUGUCCCUUGAUCCCCUCCCAGUACCCUCUGGUUCACUCCCAGUGCCCCCAGUCCCCCUCCCAGUGUCCCCAUCCCCUUCCCAGUGUCCCUUGAUCCCCUCCCAGUACCCUCCGGCUCACUCCCAGUGCCCCCAGUCCCUCCUCCCAGUGCCCCCCAGUUCCCUCCCAGCGCCCCCAUCCCCUUCCCAGUGUCCCUGUCCCAUCCCAGUGUCCCCAUUCCCUCCCAGUGCCCCCGUCCCCUUCCCAGUGUCCUCUUCCCAGUGUCCCCAUCCCCUCCCAGUGCUCCCAGUCCCCCUGCCCUCCCACUAUCCUUUGAUCCCCUCCCAGUGUCCCUUGAUCCCCUCCCAGUGGCCCCUGGUCCAUACUGGGAGCACAGGAGUGUCUACACUGGUCUAUACUGGAACUCCCUACUGGUCUAUAGCAGUUCUUACUGGUCUGUAGGGCUCCUUGAUGGUCUAAACCAGUCAGGGCAGGAUAAAACCUAAUGGUUCUUACUGGUCUGUACUGGUCCUUAGUAGUUUACGGUAGUUCCCGCUAACCUCUAGCGGUGUAUACUGGUCUAAACUGGUCUGCAGGGCACCUGUACUGGUACGUAGUAGAAAAAGGGGGAAGAGCCUACUGGUUUGCAGAAUUCCUUACUGGUCUGAACUGGUGCCUACUGGGCCAUAGCACUCUCCACCAGCACCAGUGAACCAAAUGGACCUGAAGGACUCCCUGUUGGUCCCUUACUGGUUUGUACUGGUUCAUACUGGUCCCUUACUGGCUUUUGCUGCUUUUUUACUGGCCUCUACUGGAUUUUACGAGCCAAUAUUGUUUUUUACUGGUUUCUUACUGGUUCCUACUGCUUUUUUACUGGCCUCUACUGGAUUUUACUGCUUUUUUACUGGCCUCUACUGGAUUUUACUGCUUUUUUACUGGCCUCUACUGGAUUUUACGAGCCUCUACCGUUUCUUACUGGUUAAUACGACUUCUUACUGCUUCCUACCAGUUCCUUACUGGCUUUUACUGCUU
rnacentral:lncRNA from 1 species